rnacentral:tRNA from 2 species
GGCCCAAUCGUCUAGAGGCCAAGGACGCCGCGCUCUCAAUGCGGUAACACGGGUUCGAAUCCCGUUUGGGCCACCA